rnacentral:tRNA from 2 species
GCGAGAGUGGCGGAAUUGGCAGACGCACUGGAUUUAGGAUCCAGCGGGUAACUCCGUGGGGGUUCGAGUCCCCCCUCUCGCACCA